rnacentral:rRNA from 1 species
GACGAACGCUGGCGGCGUGCCUAAUACAUGCAAGUCGAGCGCAGGAAGCUGACGGAACUCCUCGGAGGGGAGGCAGUGGAAUGAGCGGCGGACGGGUGAGUAACACGUAAGGAACCUGCCUCAAGGAUUGGGAUAACUCCGAGAAAUCGGAGCUAAUACCGGAUAGUUCAACGGACCGCAUGGUCCGCUGAUGAAAGGCGCUUCGGCGUCACCUUGAGAUGGCCUUGCGGUGCAUUAGCUAGUUGGUGAGGUAACGGCCCACCAAGGCGACGAGGCAUAGCCGACCUGAGAGGGUGAUCGGCCACACUGGGACUGAGACACGGCCCAGACUCCUACGGGAGGCAGCAGUAGGGAAUCUUCCACAAUGGACGAAAGUCUGAUGGAGCAACGCCGCGUGAGUGAUGAAGGUUUUCGGAUCGUAAAACUCUGUUGUAAGGGAAGAACACGUACGAGAGGAAAUGCUCGUACCUUGACGGUACCUUACGAGAAAGCCACGGCUAACUACGUGCCAGCCGCCGCCGUAACAC